rnacentral:rRNA from 1 species
AUACGUAGGGUGCGAGCGUUGUCCGGAAUUACUGGGCGUAAAGAGCUCGUAGGUGGUUUGUCGCGUCGUCUGUGAAAUUCCGGGGCUUAACUCCGGGCGUGCAGGCGAUACGGGCAUAACUUGAGUACUGUAGGGGAGACUGGAAUUCCUGGUGUAGCGGUGAAAUGCGCAGAUAUCAGGAGGAACACCGGUGGCGAAGGCGGGUCUCUGGGCAGUAACUGACGCUGAGGAGCGAAAGCAUGGGUAGCGAACAGGAUUAGAUACCCGGGUAGUCCAUGCCGUAAACGGUGGGCGCUAGGUGAAGGGGUCUUCCACGCCUUCUGUGCCGUAGCUAACGCAUUAAGCGCCCCGCCUGGGGAGUACGGCCGCAAGGCUAAAACUCAAAUGAAUUGACGGGG